GUGAAUUGCAGAAUUCAGUGAAUCAUCGAAUCUUUGAACGCACCUUGCGCUCCUUGGUAUUCCGAGGAGCAUGCCUGUUUGAGUGUCAUUA
rnacentral:rRNA from 1 species